rnacentral:rRNA from 1 species
UCUACGCACAACGCCCAAGAAUGGUAAAGCCGCGAAUGGCUCAUUACAACAGCCAUAGUUUACUGGAUCUUACUUUCCUACUUGGAUAACUGUGGUAAUUCUAGAGCUAAUACACGCAUGAAAGCUCUGACCUCACGGGAGGAGCGCAUUUAUUAGAACAAAACCAAUCGGGCUCUCGGGCCCGCACAUUGGUGAAUCUGAAUAACUUUGCAGAUCGCAUGGUCUCGCACCGGCGACGUAUCUUUCAAAUGUCUGCCUUAUCAACUUUAGAUGGUAGUUUACACGCCUACCAUGGUUGUAACGGGUAACGGAGAAUAAGGGUUCGACUCCGGAGAGGGAGCCUGAGAAAUGGCUACCACAUCCAAGGAAGGCAGCAGGCACGCAAAUUACCCACUCCCGGCACGGGGAGGUAGUGACGAAAAAUAACGAGGCGGUUCUCUCUGAGGCCCGCCAUCGGAAUGGGUACAAUUAAAUCCUUUAACGAGGAU